rnacentral:rRNA from 1 species
ACUCCUACGGGAGGCAGCAGUAGGGAAUCUUCCGCAAAUGGGGCGAAAGCCUGACGGAGCAACGCCGCGUGAGUGAAGAAGGUCUUCGGAUCGUAAAACUCUGUUGAUUAGGGAAGACAAAUGUGUAAGUAACUAUGCACGUCUUGACGGUACCUAAUCAGAAAGCCACGGCUAACUACGUGCCAGCAGCCGCGGUAAUACG